UACAGAGGGGGCAAGCGUUGUUCGGAAUUACUGGGCGUAAAGAGCGCGCAGGCGGUCGAGUAAGUCGGAUGUGAAAGCCCCCGGCUUAACUGGGGAGGGUCAUUCGAUACUGCUCGACUUGAAGGCAGGAGAGGGUAGUGGAAUUCCCGGUGUAGUGGUGAAAUGCGUAGAUAUCGGGAGGAACACCAGUGGCGAAGGCGACUACCUGGCCUGUUCUUGACGCUGAGGCGCGAAAGCUGGGGGAGCAAACGGG
rnacentral:rRNA from 1 species